rnacentral:lncRNA from 12 species
UAUAAUAUGAAAAUCUCACUGCAUUUUUUUCUUUUGCAUUUUGCUGCACCGUGCACUCAUGAAAACUCCAUCAGAAAUUUUCUCUGGCAUAUGGAAAUCAAUGCUCCAUCAGAUAGCUUUAUAAAGCUAUAAUGCGUGAAUCAGAAUACUAAAUUGUAUAUUCCUUUUACUAUCUCUUUUCUCAUUUUUCUCAUCCCUGACCCAUUGGUAAAGUUUGGUUUACAUAUUCUCAUCUCACCUCAGUAAAGAAAAGAAACAUGAAUCCACAUCCAGGACCAAGAGAACUCACUGAUACCAGGGUAAUAUACUGAUGUUGAUGUUUUGAAGAUCUCCAGUAAGAUGUAAGGAGAAUUCAGGAUAAAGGUCCAGAAGCUCAUUAUAAGUAGAGCUUUCUCCCUGAACAAUCUAUUUUUGGAGGUUUGCUGUUGAAUUUCCCUAAGAGAGAUGUAAGCUUCCUUAAGUUUCAGGAAUUGCCUUUUUGGAAUUCCUAAAAAAUGGAAAGGAGUUCCGGAAACAUCUCAGCCUCUCCCCAUUUCUUUCAGUGGAACAUUGAAUGACACCAGCUCCAACAGGUAGAAUGUAAAGCAACCUUUAUAGAUGGUGGGGGAUUGGGGGUGGGAAUAAGGGUUUCUCCUUGGUCUUGACCUCGCUGCACUGUUUUUGUCACAUUUCUCCAAGUCCCCUGGACACAUGCCUAUUUCCAAUGAGGAUUCAACAAUUCACAAGCAACCAGGUGAAAAGCUGACCCCUUGGAGAAGAACUGGCCUGUUGGAGGACAGUGAGCUAAAGAGAGAGGUCCUGGGCAAGAGUGACUCUGUGAAGGAGCAAAGCCAAGAAGAUGAACUGCAGCCCCUCAGUGAAUAUUUAUCAGGCAGCCAACAUGUUCAUAACUUAAGGUUUUUUAUGGCAUUAGGGGAAGCUGUUGCUGCCUGUUUUGAAGAUGCCUCUCUUAUCUCAAUGGCAAGUUUUGGACACUUCCAUACUUAAGGCAUGAGAGACUUGAAGAGUCUCUUGGAUCAACAAGUCUGUUUUCCUUCCUCACCCUCCCAAGAGUUUAAGACUUCUCCAGGAGAAAAUUCAAUUGCCUCCAACCUACUCAUUACCUGGUGACUUCACUCAGUGAAUUCAUUCCUUUGCUAGGCUGACUUGCACAUUGACCCUGAUUUUUUUUUUCCUCAAGUGCCUUGUUUAGCUACAUUUUAUGACUCUGCUUUUGACUGAGGCAUACAGGUCAAACUAUUACUUUACAAAAGGAGGUUCACAAAGUGAAUAUUUCUUAAGUAAUUCUGGAAACCUGAGAGGAAAUGAUUAGGAGACACAAAGGCAUACAACCUAGUUUGUUGAGCUUCCAUAUUGAAAAAUAAUGGCUUUACAUAGAACAUAAGCACUCUCCAGAGAUGUUUCUACAAAACGCACUUAAAGUAGUCAAAGUAGUGCUGCUGAGAAAGGUUUCUGAUGCAGGGUUACAGAAAGAAAUUUCUAAACCCUAACCAAACUAAAAGGGGGUUUUCAGAAAAUGUCCUCUUCUCUCAAAGAGAGGUUAGGUACAUACGAUAAGUACUGAGUCAACAUUUGUUUUUUGCUAACCACUCAGUAAAUUCUAGAGCAGAGAUCUUACACUAAGCUGUAGUCCUAACAAUGAAAGCGGGACCUGUUUAGCAGUUUAUGUUUCUAUUGUACAGGAGAAUGACUUCCUAGCUUAAGUGACUAUGCCUUUAUUAGAGGUUGUUAUGAUGUAAAGGGAUUUCAAAUUCUUAUGGGUUAUAGGGGGGUAAUAAUUGACUCUUCUUACCUCACUGUACUUCCCCAGUGAAUGCACAACAGACACCAUACAUGUCACUAAAUAAACCUAAGAUACGAGACCCUCUCCUCUCA